rnacentral:rRNA from 1 species
AUUGAACGCUGGCGGCAGGCCUAACACAUGCAAGUCGAGCGGUAACACAGAGGAGCUUGCUCCUUGGGUGACGAGCGGCGGACGGGUGAGUAAUGCCUGGGGAUCUGCCCGAUAGAGGGGGAUAACUACGGGAAACUGUAGCUAAUACCGCAUAAUGUCUACGGACCAAAGUGGGGGCUCUUCGGACCUCAUGCUAUCGGAUGAACCCAGGUGGGAUUAGCUAGUUGGUGAGGUAAUGGCUCACCAAGGCGACGAUCUCUAACUGGUUUGAGAGAAUGACCAGUCACACUGGAACUGAGACACGGUCCAGACUCCUACGGGAGGCAGCAGUGGGGAAUAUUGCACAAUGGGCGCAAGCCUGAUGCAGCCAUGCCGCGUGUGUGAAGAAGGCCUUCGGGUUGUAAAGCACUUUCAGCGGGGAGGAAGGGUCACUAGUUAAUACCUAGUGGCAUUGACGUUACUCGCAGAAGAAGCACCGGCUAACUCCGUGCCAGCAGCCGCGGUAAUACGGAGGGUGCAAGCGUUAAUCGGAAUUACUGGGCGUAAAGCGCACGCAGGCGGUUUGUUAAGUCANAUGUGAAAUCCCCGAGCUCAACUUGGGAACUGCAUUUGAAACUGGCAAGCUAGAGUCUUGUAGAGGGGGGUAGAAUUCC